CGGCAAUCUGCUCCCUGCUAAUUGGUGCAGAUGGGAGUAAGGAGGGUGAGCAGAACACACGAGGGAGGAAGCAGAUACUCCUGGAAUUCUCUAUUCAUCACGAGAGAUCUCGGAGCUGUGUGUCAUUAUUCCUGCUUCACAGAGGAAGAAACUGAGCCUCAGACACAGCACCUGCACUCCAGUGAUUCCUGAGUUCAACAGUAGUCCCACUAGUGCAAAGACAUCAAUCCACGAUCAGACACACUGCUG